rnacentral:rRNA from 1 species
GAUGAACGCUGGCGGCGUGCCUAACACAUGCAAGUCGAGCGAACAGACGAGGAGCUUGCUCCUCUGACGUUAGCGGCGGACGGGUGAGUAACACGUGGAUAACCUACCUAUAAGACUGGGAUAACUUCGGGAAACCGGAGCUAAUACCGGAUAAUAUAUUGAACCGCAUGGUUCAAUAGUGAAAGACGGUUUUGCUGUCACUUAUAGAUGAAUCCGCGCCGCAUUAGCUAGUUGGUAAGGUAACGGCUUACCAAGGCAACGAUGCGUAGCCGACCUGAGAGGGUGAUCGGCCACACUGGAACUGAGACACGGUCCAGACUCCUACGGGAGGCAGCAGUAGGGAAUCUUCCGCAAUGGGCGAAAGCCUGACGGAGCAACGCCGCGUGAGUGAUGAAGGUCUUCGGAUCGUAAAACUCUGUUAUUAGGGAAGAACAAAAGUGUAAGUAACUAUGCACGUCUUGACGGUACCUAAACAGAAAGCAACGGCUAACUACGUG